AUUGAACGCUGGCGGCAGGCCUAACACAUGCAAGUCGAACGGUAACAGGAAGCAGCUUGCUGCUUUGCUGACGAGUGGCGGACGGGUGAGUAAUGUCUGGGAAACUGCCUGAUGGAGGGGGAUAACUACUGGAAACGGUAGCUAAUACCGCAUAACGUCGCAAGACCAAAGAGGGGGACCUUCGGGCCUCUUGCCAUCGGAUGUGCCCAGAUGGGAUUAGCUAGUAGGUGGGGUAAAGGCUCACCUAGGCGACGAUCCCUAGCUGGUCUGAGAGGAUGACCAGCCACACUGGAACUGAGACACGGUCCAGACUCCUACGGGAGGCAGCAGUGGGGAAUAUUGCACAAUGGGCGCAAGCCUGAUGCAGCCAUGCCGCGUGUAUGAAGAAGGCCUUCGGGUUGUAAAGUACUUUCAGCGGGGAGGAAGGGAGUAAAGUUAAUACCUUUGCUCAUUGACGUUACCCGCAGAAGAAGCACCGGCUAACUCCGU
rnacentral:rRNA from 1 species